UACAGAGGGUGCAAGCGUUAAUCGGAAUUACUGGGCGUAAAGCGUGCGUAGACGGUUACAUAAGUCGGGUGUGAAAGCCCCGGGCUCAACCUGGGAAUUGCAUUCGAGACUGCGUAGCUAGGGUGCGGAAGAGGGAAGCGGAAUUUCCGGUGUAGCGGUGAAAUGCGCAGAUAUCUGGAGGAACACCGGUGGCGAAGGCGGCAUCCUGGACCACGACUGACGCUGAGGAGCGAAAGCCAGGGGAGCAAAGCGGG
rnacentral:rRNA from 1 species